rnacentral:rRNA from 1 species
UACAGAGGUGCCGAGCGUUAGGCGGAAUCACUGGGCUUAAAGCGUGUGUAGGCGGACUUCUAAGUACCUUGUGAAAUCCCACGGCUCACCCGUGGAACUGCUGGGUAUACUGGUCGUCUUGAGCCACCUAGGGCGAGCGGAACAAAUGGUGGAGCGGUGAAAUGCGUAGAUAUCAUUUGGAACGCCAACGGUGAAACAGCUCGCUGGGUGUGCUGACGCUGAGACACGAAAGCCAGGGUAGCGAACGGG